AACGAACGCUGGCGGCGUGGAUAAGACAUGCAAGUCGGACGGGAUUUUUCGCGGUAGCAAUACCGUGGAAAAUUCAGUGGCGAACGGGUGCGUAACACGUGGGCAAUCUGCCUUAAAGUGUGGGAUAGCUCGGCGAAAGCCGAAUUAAUACCGCAUGUGAUCAGCGGAGACAUCUUCGCGAAAUCAAAGGUGGCGCAAGCUACCGCUUUUUGAGGAGCCCGCGGCCUAUCAGCUUGUUGGUGAGGUAACGGCUCACCAAGGCGUUGACGGGUAGCUGGUCUGAGAGGACGACCAGCCACACUGGGACUGAGACACGGCCCAGACACCUACGGGUGGCAGCAGUCGAGAAUUUUUGACAAUGGGGGAAACCCUGAUCGAGCGACGCCGCGUGGAGGAUGAAGGUCUUCGGGUUGUAAACUCCUGUCAUUUGGGAACAAGGCGUGGCUAUUAACUGUAGUCACGUUGAUAGUACCAGAAGAGGAAGAGACGGCUAACUCUGUGCCAGCCGCCGCCGUAACAC
rnacentral:rRNA from 1 species